rnacentral:lncRNA from 1 species
GGGGAAAUUGAAAGGCAAUUGAAAAGCAUUGAGCUCAAAUGAUGUGAAAGAAAAAUACAUGAGAGAAAGAAAAGAAAAGAAGAAAAGCAUGAAGAUGGGCUCAAUGCAAAAGAAAAGGGAAAAAAUUGGGAAUAAGUUAGUUUGGUGAGGAAGAGAGUUGUGCUUAAAUGUUGAAUAAUAUGGUAGCUCUCUUAACUCAAGGAUUUUGCAUUCCAGAAAAACCAAUUCUUCUUGUUAGCCCAGCCUCAUUACAAGCCUUGGAAAAGUCCUUUUGAUGGCAUUUGCAUGUAAGAAUUUUGGUUGUUUUAGAUGAAUAG